AUUUAAUCAAUCCUAAAUUUGAAAGCUAUCAGUCACUCUGUGUGCCUAAGGUAGCUUUGUCAUUUUUCAUUUAGUUCUAAUUUGCAUCCCCGUGUUCUGCCCCAAAUCUUGAGAGGGGAAAAUAAUCAGAAUUGUGAUGAAACAUACAUUUUUCAUUUCGCUUUAUUGAAGUUCCUUAUUUUUAUUGAGUUAGGAUUCUUUUGACAGGGGUGGUUGGCUGCACGUCUCUGCUGGUUUAAUGGCCAACCCAGUUCAUCAAAACUAACAAGCUUUAACAAAAAUAAAUAUCAAAUGUGAGUCAUGGUUAAAAGUGGUGUCCUAAGUCAAGUUCUUCUGCUUGAUGGUUGGAAUUGGUGACUGAAGGGUGAUAAAGUGAACAGACUGGUUGCACUGACAGACAUGGGUUUGAAGAGUGGUUGGCUCAGGACACAUGGAUGGAGCUCCACGUCAGCUUCUGUCAUUAAAUGAAGAGGGAAGCUUUCAGACUCACCACUGAGGCUCUGAAUUGGCUUUAAAUGAAAGGUGUUGUGCUUCUGAAGUGCCCUGCCCAAGAGCUCUCCAGCAAUCCAAACAGCCAGCAGACAAAGCCAUUAAACCUGAAGUGCCCGUGCAUGAUUACCUGGCAGAGAGCUGCAGGAGAGGGUUUGCAGCUGAGUCCCGCAGGAACAGGCUUUGUCUGAAAAACAACCCCUGGCAGGUGCAGACUCGGUUGGAAAGAGCCAAGGCUGCUGAUGCCUGUCCUGCAUCUCCCUACCAGCCAUCCAAGGUUUGUCCCGCAGAGGAUCAGACAGAUCAGUGUUUGGGAGCAGGGACUUUGCUGCCACAGAGAUCUCCACACUCCAGUCCUUGCUCUGCAGCCCAGGAGAGAGCCAAAGCAGGUGGGUUUGAAAGACAGAGCAGGAGAAGUGGGAAUCCCU